rnacentral:rRNA from 1 species
CUACCACAUCCAAGGAAGGCAGCAGGCGCGCAAAUUACCCACUCCCGGAACGGGGAGGUAGUGACGAAAAAUAACAAUACGGGACUCUUUUGAGACCCCGUAAUUGGAAUGAGUACACUCCAAACCCUUUAACGAGGACCCAUCAGAGGGCAAGUCUGGUGCCAGCCGCCGCGGUAAUUCCAGCUCUGAUAGCGUAUAUUAAAGUUGUUGCGGUUAAAAAGCUCGUAGUUGGAUCUCAGUUCCCGACGGGCGGUCCGCCUACCGGCGGUCACUGCCCGGUCGGAACAGCACGGCCGGUUUCCCCCGAUGAUCUUCACCGGUUGUCUCGGGUGACCGGCAAGUUUACUUUGAAAAAAUUAGAGUGCUCAACGCAGGCGCGACGCCUGGAUAAUGGUGCAUGGAAUAAUGGAAUAGGACCUCGGUUCUAUUUUGUUGGUUUUCGGAACACGAGGUAAUGAUUAAGAGGGACAGACGGGGGCAUUCGUAUUGCGACGCUAGAGGUGAAAUUCUUGGACCGUCGCAAGACGAACUACUGCGAAAGCAUUUGCCAAGAAUGUUUCCAUUAAUCAAGAACGAAAGUUAGAGGUUCGAAGGCGAUCAGAUACCGCCCUAGUUCUAACCAUAAACGAUGCCAGCCAGCGAUCCGGCUGCGUUCCUCAAAUGACGCGCCGGGCAGCUUCCGGGAAACCAAAGCCUUUGGGUUCCGGGGGAAGUAUGGUU